AGCGAACGCUGGCGGCAGGCCUAACACAUGCAAGUCGAACGGACCCUUCGGGGUUAGUGGCGGACGGGUGAGUAACACGUGGGAACGUGCCUUUAGGUUCGGAAUAGCUCCUGGAAACGGGUGGUAAUGCCGAAUGUGCCCUUCGGGGGAAAGAUUUAUCGCCUUUAGAGCGGCCCGCGUCUGAUUGGCUAGUUGGUGAGGUAAUGGCUCACCAAGGCGACGAUCAGUAGCUGGUCUGAGAGGAUGACCAGCCACAUUGGGACUGAGACACGGCCCAAACUCCUACGGGAGGCAGCAGUGGGGAAUCUUGCGCAAUGGGCGAAAGCCUGACGCAGCCAUGCCGCGUGAAUGAUGAAGGUCUUAGGAUUGUAAAAUCCUUUCACCGGGGACGAUAAUGACGGUACCCGGAGAAGAAGCCCCGGCUAACUUCGUGCCAGCAGCCGCCGUAAAAC
rnacentral:rRNA from 1 species